CACGUAGGGGACGAGCGUUGUUCGGAAUUAUUGGGCGUAAGGCGCGCGCAGGCGGUCUCUUAAGUCUGAUGUGAAAGCCCACGGCUCAACCGUGGAGGGUCAUUGGAAACUGGGGGACUUGAGUGCAGAAGAGGAAAGCGGAAUUCCACGUGUAGCGGUGAAAUGCGUAGAGAUGUGGAGGAACACCAGUGGCGAAGGCGGCUUUCUGGUCUGUAACUGACGCUGAGGCGCGAAAGCGUGGGGAGCAAACAGG
rnacentral:rRNA from 1 species